rnacentral:rRNA from 1 species
AACGAACGCUGGCGGCAGGCUUACACAUGCAAGUCGAACGCCCCGGCAAGGGGAGUGGCAGACGGGUGAGUAACGCGUGGGAAUCUACCCAACUCUACGGAAUAACUCAGGGAAACUUGUGCUAAUACCGUAUACGCCCUUCGGGGGAAAGAUUUAUCGGAGUUGGAUGAGCCCGCGUUGGAUUAGCUAGUUGGUGGGGUAAAGGCCUACCAAGGCGACGAUCCAUAGCUGGUCUGAGAGGAUGAUCAGCCACAUUGGGACUGAGACACGGCCCAAACUCCUACGGGAGGCAGCAGUGGGGAAUAUUGGACAAUGGGCGCAAGCCUGAUCCAGCCAUGCCGCGUGAGUGAUGAAGGCCUUAGGGUUGUAAAGCUCUUUCACCGGAGAAGAUAAUGACGGUAUCCGGAGAAGAAGCCCCGGCUAACUUCGUGCCAGCAGCCGCGGUAAUACGAAGGGGGCUAGCGUUGUUCGGAAUUACUGGGCGUAAAGCGCACGUAGGCGGAUCGAUCAGUCAGGGGUGAAAUCCCAGGGCUUAACCCUGGAACUGCCUUUGAUACUGUCGAUCUAGAGUAUGGAAGAGGUGAGUGGAAUUCCGAGUGUAGAGGUGAAAUUCGUAGAUAUUCGGAGGAACACCAGUGGCGAAGGCGGCUCACUGGUCCAUUACUGACGCUGAGGUGCGAAAGCGUGGGG